AUUGAACGCUGGCGGCAGGCCUAACACAUGCAAGUCGAACGAGUGGCGGACGGGUGAGUAAUGUCUGGGAAACUGCCUGAUGGAGGGGGAUAACUACUGGAAACGGUAGCUAAUACCGCAUACCAUCGGAUGUGCCCAGAUGGGAUUAGCUAGUAGGUGGGGUAAAGGCUCACCUAGGCGACGAUCCCUAGCUGGUCUGAGAGGAGGACCAGCAACACGGGAACUGGGACACGGUCCAGACUCUGACGGGAGGAAGAAGUGGGGAAUAUUGGACAAUGGGGGAAAGCCGGAUGCAGAAAUGCGGCGGGUAUGAAGAAGGCCUUCGGGUGGUAAAGUACUUUCAGCGGGGAGGCGUUACCUGAAGAAGAAGCAACGGCUAACUCCGUGCCAGCAGCCGCGGUAAUAC
rnacentral:rRNA from 1 species